rnacentral:rRNA from 1 species
AACGAACGCUGGCGGCAUGCCUAACACAUGCAAGUCGAACGAGACCUUCGGGUCUAGUGGCGCACGGGUGCGUAACGCGUGGGAACCUGCCCUUAGGUUCGGAAUAACUCCCCGAAAGGGGUGCUAAUACCGGUUAAUGUCUUCGGACCAAAGAUUUAUCGCCUUUGGAUGGGCCCGCGUUGGAUUAGCUAGUUGGUAGGGUAAAAGCCUACCAAGGCGACGAUCCAUAGCUGGUCUGAGAGGAUGAUCAGCCACACUGGGACUGAGACACGGCCCAGACUCCUACGGGAGGCAGCAGUGGGGAAUAUUGGACAAGGGGCGAAAGCCUGAUCCAGCAAUGCCGCGUGAGUGAUGAAGGCCGUAGGGUUGUAAAGCUCUUUUACCCGGGAUGAUAAUGACAGUACCGGGAGAAUAAGCUCCGGCUAACUCCGUG